GCGUUGAUGGUGUAGCGGUUCGCAUACAACUCUUCCAAAGUUGUGAUCCGGGUUCGACUCCCGGUCGACGCA
rfam:Byssochlamys spectabilis No. 5 DNA, contig: PVAR5_00018_6.